GGAAAAGCAGUGAACAGAUCAGUAGCUUAAGGUUGCUUCGCAGAGAGUUUUCGGUUGGUGCAAGAAAACAGGCAGGUUAGGUGAACACACAUCUGGGAGUUGGCGUGUUGAAUUCAAGUAGGCAUGCUCGGUUGAGCCCGUUAGCGCUGUAGUUAGUUUAACUACCUGAGGUAAGCGAUGUGAGUCGUUUACAAAAUUGAGGUGGAAUCACGAGAUAAUCGUCCUCUAAGCGCCAAUGGGUGCUUAGAGGCUUUUUUAAUGGUGAUUAACUAACUACUAAGGUUUAUUGUGCGAACAAUAAAUAAAUUGAGGUGGUACCACGGUAUUGAUCGUCCUCGUA
rnacentral:ncRNA from 1 species